UACGUAGGGUGCAAGCGUUAAUCGGAAUUACUGGGCGUAAAGCGUGCGCAGGCGGCUUUGCAAGACAGAUGUGAAAGCCCCGGGCUCAACCCGGGAAGUGCACUCGAAACUGGCAGGCUAGAGUAUCGGAGAGGUUGGUGGAAUUCUCGGUGUAGAGGUGAAAUUCGUAGAUAUCGAGAGGAACACCGGUGGCGAAGGCGGCCAACUGGACGAAUACUGACGCUGAGACUCGAAAGCGUGGGGAGCAAACAGG
rnacentral:rRNA from 1 species